CGCUGGCCGAGCGAAGGCGGCGGCGGCAGCCGGGUGGCCCGCGGCUCCGGGAAGUCCCAGCAGCUGUGAUGCCACGAGAAUACUCAGAUAGCACACGGACAGGCCCACAUGGCAAUGAAUUGCAACUUGCCAGCAACCAUGUGGGUUAGCUUGAAGUGAAUUCUCUAGUCCUGUGUCUUCAGGUGACUGUAGCCCUGGCUGACCAUGUGACUGAACCUGAGGAGAAGCUGAGCCAAAGGCACACAGAUAAGCUGCACCUGGAUUCCUGACUACAGAAACUGUGAAGUAAUAAAUGUUUGCUGUUCAAAGCCAAGGGUUGGCAAAAUAUAUUCCACUUGUUUCUGUAAAUAAAGUUUUACUGGAACACGGUAAUGUUCACUAAUGUGC
rnacentral:lncRNA from 1 species